GGGUGAGUCGGGUCCUAAGGCGAGGCCGACAGGCGUAGUCGAAUGGAUGAACGGGUGGAUAUUCCCGUACCGGCGGCGUACCGUAAGAGCCGAACGGAUGAGUACUAACCUCCGGUCGCGUGGCGUCGUUCCCUUCGGGGUUCGGGGUCCGCGGUCGUUGGGAGCGUAGUCCUGGUAGGCUAGCGCACAGGGGUGACACGGAAUGGGAGCCGGCCGCGGAGGUGGUUUUCCGUGGUCAAGCACGCAGCCCGUCCCAUAGGCAAAUCCGUGGGACGCAUAGGGUGAGGUGUGAUGAUGGGCGUCUUUUAUGGCGCGAUAUCCGGUGGUCCAGGCCGUCGAGAAAAGCCUCGGCGCGAGGGGCGUCGCCGCCCGUACCCCAAACCGACACUGGUGGUCAGGUAGAGAAUACCAAGGCGAUCGAGCGAAUCCUGGUCAAGGAACUCGGCAAAUCACUCCCGUGCCUUCGGUAUAAGGGAGACCCCCGGGCGUGAAGAGGCUUGCCCUCGGAGCGUUGGGGGGUGGCACAGACCAGGGGGUAGCGACUGUUUACCAAAAACACAGGUGCAUGCGAAGGCGCAAGCCGCUGUAUAUGCACUGACGCCUGCCCGGUGCCGGAAGGUUAAGAGGAUCCGUCAGUCCCUUUUGGGGUGAAGCGGUGAAUUCAAGCCCCGGUAAACGGCGGUGGUAACUAUAACCAUCCUAAGGUAGCGAAAUUCCUUGUCGGGUAAGUUCCGACCUGCACGAAUGGCGUAACGACUUCCCCACUGUCUCGACCAGGAGCUCGGCGAAAUUGCAGUACGAGUAAAGAUGCUCGUUAAGCGCAGAAGGACGAAAAGACCCCGGGACCUUUACUAUACCUUGGUAUUGGCGUUAGGCGCGGAUUGUGUAGCAUAGGCGGGAGGCUUCGAAGCAUGGGCGCCAGCCCGUGUGGAGCCGCAAGGUGAAAUACCGCUCUGUUCUCGUUUGACGUCUAACCUCGAACAGUCAUCCUGUUCAGGGACAGUGCCUGGCGGGUAGUUUAACUGGGGCGGUUGCCUCCCAAAGAGUAACGGAGGCGCUCAAAGGUCCGCUCAGCCCGGUUGGCAAUCGGGUUUCGAGUGUAAUCGCACAAGCGGGCUUGACUGCGAGAACGACGGUUCGGGCAGGGACGAAAGUCGGAGAUAGUGAUCCGGUGCCGGCGCACGGGCGCGGCAUCGCUCAACGGAUAAAAGGUACCCCGGGGAUAACAGGCUGAUCAUUCCCAAGAGUCCAUAUCGACGGGAUGGUUUGGCACCUCGAUGUCGGCUCGUCGCAUCCUGGGGCUGGAGCAGGUCCCAAGGGUUCGGCUGUUCGCCGAUUAAAGCGGCACGCGAGCUGGGUUCAGAACGUCGUGAGACAGUUUGGUCUCUAUCCUCUGCGCUCGUUGGAAUCCUGAGGAGGCCUGCCCAUAGUACGAGAGGACCUGGGUGGACGGACCUCUGGUAUGCCGGUUGUCGCGCCAGCGGCAUGGCCGGUUGGCUACGUUCGGGAGGGAUAACCGCUGAAAGCAUCUAAGCGGGAAGCCUGCUCCAAGAUUAGGAUUCCUUGGCACUUCGGUGCCUGUAGCCCGCAUGUUGAACACGUGUUCGAUAGGCCGGAGGUGGAAGCCCCGCGAGGGGUGGAGCCGACCGGUACUAACGGGCGAACGCGGCACAC
rnacentral:rRNA from 1 species